rnacentral:tRNA from 1 species
GGGCGAGUGGUGGAAUGGGUAUACACAAGGCACUUAAAAUGCCUCGGCGCAAGCCAUGCCGGUUCGAAUCCGGUCUCGCCCACCA